rnacentral:tRNA from 1 species
UUAUAAAUAGUGUUAAAGCACAUAUAUUUUCCAAAUAUAAAGAUAAAUUAAUUUUUAUUUAUAAA